UGAAUACAUAGGUUAACGAGGCGAACCGGGGGAACUGAAACAUCUAAGUACCCCGAGGAAAAGAAAUCAACCGAGAUUCCCCCAGUAGCGGCGAGCGAACGGGGAGCAGCCCGGAGUCUGAAUCAGCUUGUGUGUUAGUGGAACGGUCUGGAAAGUCCGACGGUACAGGGUGAUAGUCCCGUACACGAAAAUGCACAUGCUGUGAACUCGAAGAGUAGGGCGGGACACGUGGUAUCCUGUCUGAAUAUGGGGGG
rnacentral:rRNA from 1 species